rnacentral:rRNA from 1 species
AAUUUUGGACAAUGGGGGAAACCCUGAUCCAGCCAUCCCGCGUGUAUGAUGAAGGCGUUCGGGAUAAAAAGUUCUUUUGGCAGAGAAGAAAAGGUAUCCCCUAAUACGGGAUACUGCUGAUGGUAUCUGCAGAAUAAGCACCGGCUAACUACGUGCCAGUAGCCGCGGUAAUACGGAGGGUGCAAGCUUUAAUCGGAAUUACUGGGCGUAAAGCGUGCGCAGGCGGUUCGGAAAGAAGGAUGUGAAAUCCCAGGGCUCAACCUUGGAACUGCAUUCUUAACUACCGAACUAGAGUAUGUCAGAGGGGAGUAGAAUUCCGCGUGUAGCAGUGAAAUGCGUAGAUAUGCGGAAGAAUACCGAUGGCGAAGGCAGCCCCCUGGGAUAAUACUGACGCUCAGACACGAAAGCGUGGGGAGCAAACAGG